rnacentral:rRNA from 1 species
AGUGAACGCUGGCGGUAGGCCUAACACAUGCAAGUCGAACGGCAGCACAGUAAGAGCUUGCUCUUACGGGUGGCGAGUGGCGGACGGGUGAGGAAUACAUCGGAAUCUACUUUUUCGUGGGGGAUAACGUAGGGAAACUUACGCUAAUACCGCAUACGACCUACGGGUGAAAGCAGGGGAUCUUCGGACCUUGUGCGAUUGAAUGAGCCGAUGUCGGAUUAGCUAGUUGGCGGGGUAAAGGCCCACCAAGGCGACGAUCCGUAGCUGGUCUGAGAGGAUGAUCAGCCCCACUGGAACUGAGACACGGUCCAGACUCCUCCGGGAGGCAGCAGAGGGGAAUAUUGGACAAUGGGCGGAAGCCUGAUCCAGCCAUGCCGAGUAGGUGAAGAAGGCCCUCGGGUUGUAAAGCCCUUCUGUUGGGAAGGAAAAGCAGCAGGUUAAUACCCCGCUGUUCUGACGGUACCCAAUGAAUAAGCACCGGCUAACUUCGUG